UACAGAGGUCUCAAGCGUUGUUCGGAUUCAUUGGGCGUAAAGGGUGCGUAGGCGGCGCGGUAAGUCGGGUGUGAAAUCUCGGAGCUUAACUCCGAAACUGCAUUCGAUACUGCCGUGCUUGAGGACUGGAGAGGAGACUGGAAUUUACGGUGUAGCGGUGAAAUGCGUAGAUAAUCGUAAGGAAGACCAGUGGCGAAGGCGGGUCUCUG
rnacentral:rRNA from 1 species